GAUGAACGCUGGCGGCGUGCUUAACACAUGCAAGUCGAACGGAAAGGCUCCUGCUUGCAGGGGUACUCGAGUGGCGAACGGGUGAGUAACACGUGGGUGAUCUGCCCUGCACUUCGGGAUAAGCCUGGGAAACUGGGUCUAAUACCGGAUAGGACGAUGGUUUGGAUGCCAUUGUGGAAAGUUUUUUCGGUGUGGGAUGAGCUCGCGGCCUAUCAGCUUGUUGGUGGGGUAAUGGCCUACCAAGGCGUCGACGGGUAGCCGGCCUGAGAGGGUGUACGGCCACAUUGGGACUGAGAUACGGCCCAGACUCCUACGGGAGGCAGCAGUGGGGAAUAUUGCACAAUGGCGCAAGCCUGAUGCAGCGACGCCGCGUGGGGGAUGACGGCCUUCGGGUUGUAAACUCCUUUCGCUAGGGACGAAGCGCAAGUGACGGUACCUGGAGAAGAAGCACCGGCUAACUACGUG
rnacentral:rRNA from 1 species